GUGGCACUGAGGAACGUGCUGAACAAGACCUACAUUGCACUCCAGGGAGUGGAUGAAGGAGUUGGGGCUCAGUCGGGUUGUAUUGGAGACAAGAAGCACUUGCUCUCCAAAAGUCGGUUUGAGUUAUCAUUAAGGGAGCUGCAGUGGAGUAGGCGGAGAAAAGGCCGCACCCUUCUCAGGACGGGGGAGGGGAGUGUUGCAAUACCUUUCUGGGAGUUCUCUGCUGCCUCCUGUCUUCUGAGGACCGCCCUGGGCCUGGAAGAUUCCCUUCCCCCUUCUUCCCUCGUGAUCUGCAACUGGAGUCUUUCUGGAAGAUAGGCGGGAGUCUUCUGGGCAGGCUUAAAGGCUAACCUGAUUGUUCCUUGAGGACAGGACAGUGCUUGUUUAAGACUGUAUUCCUGCUGUCUGAGCAGUAACAGGUCUUCGAGAUCAACAUGAUUUUCAUAAUCCCAAGAUGUUGCCUUUUCCGUUCUCAGAAGCAAGCAGAGGCACGCUGAUACUGUCACUAUGUUGAAUGCUGCUGUGCGGUUUGGAUUUUUUUAAGGUAGUUUAGGUAGGAGGUAUGUGUUUUGUAUGAAUUAAACUCUAAGUUACACCUUCCAUAAUUCAUGCAGUGUUGUGCAAUUGCCAUUUUUAAGUCUUGCAGUUUUUUUCGUACAUGAGGAUAAAGGUGCUUUAGAGUGCUUAAAUAGCGUGUCUUUUGCAACAUACUAUUUAUUCAUUUAUUCAUAUUAUUUAUUUUACGCAUAUGAGAGUUUUGUCUGCAUACAUGUUUGUGAGCUAUAUGCAUGCCUAGUGCUUGGUGAGAUCAGAAGAGGGUGUUGGGUCCCUUGAAACUGUAGUUACAGGGGUUGUGACCCACCAUGUGGCUGAAGUGAAUUGAACCCAGCUUCUACAAGAGCAAAGAGUAUUCUAAACCACUGAGCCAUCUUUCCAGCUCCAACAUACUAACUUCAGAUAGUGUUGGAACCAUCAAUACUGUGUAGUCAUUUUGAAGGGAGUCAUUCCAGUGAGUGCUGGAUUAUUUUGAAUGCUAUGGAAGGAACAUUUAAAUGUUUCAUAAAACAAAACUGUCAGAAGCUUCAAAGUAGAAAUUAAAAAGCUGAAGUAUUUCAGAAGGGAAACAAGCUACUUGCUGUAUUAGUUAGAGAAAUACAUACUAGCUAAGAAAAUUUAAAAACCAUAUACUUGACAUUGCUGAGUAUCUGCCAGAUGAAAAGGAAUGCUCAGAGUGGUUCUGUUGAGCAAUAUAACAACUUGUUAUAUUAAAGACUUUCCCACAGAUUUAAACUCUAAUCUGUAAUUCAUGUAUGUAUGUUACAAAUGGAUGAAACUUAAAACGUGGCUGGUCUUGUCACUGUGUUUGUAUUUAUGUGAAAGCUUGGCAAUAAACUUAUGUCCUAAAAUGGUCA